UACAGAGGUCCCAAGCGUUGUUCGGAUUCAUUGGGCGUAAAGAGCUCGUAGGCGGCUAUUCAAGUCGAACGUGAAAUCUCGGAGCUCAACUCCGAAACUGCGUUCGAUACUGGGUAGCUAGAGUCUGGUAGGGGGAUCGUGGAAUUCCUGGGUGUAGCGGGUGGAAUGCGCAGAUAUCAGGAGGAACACCGGUGGCGAAGGCGGGU
rnacentral:rRNA from 1 species